GCUUCUUAGAGAGCGGCGGACGGGUGAGUAAUGCCUAGGAAUCUGCCUGGUAGUGGGGGAUAACGUUCGGAAACGGACGCUAAUACCGCAUACGUCCUACGGGAGAAAGCAGGGGACCUUCGGGCCUUGCGCUAUCAGAUGAGCCUAGGUCGGAUUAGCUAGUUGGUGAGGUAAUGGCUCACCAAGGCGACGAUCCGUAACUGGUCUGAGAGGAUGAUCAGUCACACUGGAACUGAGACACGGUCCAGACUCCUACGGGAGGCAGCAGUGGGGAAUAUUGGACAAUGGGCGAAAGCCUGAUCCAGCCAUGCCGCGUGUGUGAAGAAGGUCUUCGGAUUGUAAAGCACUUUAAGUUGGGAGGAAGGGUUGUAAAUUAAUACUC
rnacentral:rRNA from 1 species